rnacentral:rRNA from 1 species
GAUCCUGGGCUCAGGACGAACGCUGGCGGCGUGCUUAACACAUGCAAGUCGAACGCUGAAGCCUAGCUUGCUGGGUGGAUGAGUGGCGAACGGGUGAGUAACACGUGAGUAACCUGCCCUCUUCUUUGGGAUAACGCCCGGAAACGGGUGCUAAUACUGGAUAUUCACUGAUUCUCGCAUGGGGGUUGGUGGAAAGGUUUUUCUGGUGGGGGAUGGGCUCGCGGCCUAUCAGCUUGUUGGUGGGGUGA